GAUCCUGGCUCAGGAUGAACGCUAGCGACAGGCUUAACACAUGCAAGUCGAGGGGCAUCAUGAGGUAGCAAUACCUUGAUGGCGACCGGCGCACGGGUGAGUAACGUGUAUGCAACCUGCCCGAUACCGGGGUAUAGCCCAUGGAAACGUGGAUUAACACCACAUAGUACUUUUAUCCUGCCUGGGAUGGGAGUUAAAUGUUCAAGGUAUCGGAUGGGCAUGCGUCCUAUUAGUUAGUUGGG
rnacentral:rRNA from 1 species